rnacentral:rRNA from 1 species
ACGUAGGUGGCGAGCGUUAUCCGGAUUUACUGGGCGUAAAGCGUGUGCAGGUGGACGGUUAAGUGGUGUAUGAAAUCUCCCAGCUCAACUGGGAUAGGUUAUGCCAGACUGGUCGUCUAGGGUGUGGGAGAGGGAUGUGGAAUUCCGGGUGUAGUGGUGAAAUGCGUAGAGAUCCGGAGGAACCCCAGAGGCGAAGGCGGCAUCCUGGACCGGCAUUGUCGCUGAGGCGCGAAAGCCAGGGGAGCAAACGGGA